rnacentral:rRNA from 1 species
CUUCCAUGUGUAGCGGUGGAAUGCGUAGAUAUAUGGAAGAACACCAGUGGCGAAGGCGGCUGUCUAGUCUGUAACUGACGCUGAGACUCGAAAGCAUGGGUAGCGAACAGGAUUAGAUACCCUGGUAGUCCAUGCCGUAAACGAUGAGUGCUAAGUGUUGGAGGGUUUCCCCCUUCAGUGCUGCAGCUAACGCAUUAAGCACUCCGCCUGGGGAGUACGACCGCAAGGUUGAAACUCAAAGGAAUUGACGGGGGCCCGCACAAGCGGUGGAGCAUGUGGUUUAAUUCGAAGCUACGCGAAGAACCUUACCAGGUCUUGACAUCUUCUGCCAAUCUUAGAGAUAAGACGUUCCCUUCGGGGACAGAAUGACAGGUGGUGCAUGGUUGUCGUCAGCUCGUGUCGUGAGAUGUUGGGUUAAGUCCCGCAACGAGCGCAACCCUUAUUAUCAGUUGCCAGCAUUCAGUUGGGCACUCUGGUGAGACUGCCGGUGACAAACCGGAGGAAGGUGGGGAUGACGUCAAAUCAUCAUGCCCCUUAUGACCUGGGCUACACACGUGCUACAAUGGACGGUACAACGAGUCGCGAAGUCGUGAGGCUAAGCUAAUCUCUUAAAGCCGUUCUCAGUUCGGAUUGUAGGCUGCAACUCGCCUACAUGAAGUUGGAAUCGCUAGUAAUCGCGGAUCAGCAUGCCGCGGUGAAUACGUUCCCGGGCCUUGUACACACCGCCCGUCACACCAUGAGAGUUUGUAACACCCAAAGCCGGUGAGAUAACCUUCGGGAGUCAACCGUCUAAGGUGGGACAGAUGAUUAGGGUGAAGUCGAA